UUGCCCUAGUAACGGCGAGUGAAGCGGCAACAGCUCAAAUUUGAAAUCUGGCGCAAGCCCGAGUUGUAAUUUGUAGAGGAUGUUUCUGGCGACGCGCCUUCCGAGUUCCCUGGAACGGGACGCCAUAGAGGGUGAGAGCCCCGUACGGUUGGAUGCCUAGCCUCUGUGAAACUCCUUCGACGAGUCGAGUAGUUUGGGAAUGCUGCUCUAAAUGGGAGGUAUACGUCUUCUAAAGCUAAAUACCGGCCAGAGACCGAUAGCGCACAAGUAGAGUGAUCGAAAGAUGAAAAGCACUUUGAAAAGAGGGUUAAAAAGUACGUGAAAUUGUUGAAAGGGAAGCGUUCAUGACCAGACUUGGGCAGGUUGAUCAUCCGUGGUUCUCCGCGGUGCACUCUGCCUGCCCAGGCCAGCAUCAGUUCGCCCCGGGGGAUAAAGGCUUUGGGAAUGUGGCUCCCUCGGGAGUGUUAUAGCCCACUGCGUAAUACCCUGGGGUGGACUGAGGUUCGCGCUCUGCAAGGAUGCUGGCGUAAUGGUCAUCAACGACCCGUCUUGAAACACGGACCAAGGAGUCGUCUUCGUAUGCGAGUGUUCGGGUGUCAAACCCCUACGCGUAAUGAAAGUGAACGUAGGAGAGAGCUUCGGCGCAUCUCCGACCGAUCCUGAUGUUCUCGGAUGGAUUUGAGUAAGAGCAUACGGGGCCGGACCCGAAAGAAGGUGAACUAUGCCUGUAUAGGGUGAAGCCAGAGGAAACUCUGGUGGAGGCUCGCAGCGGUUCUGACGUGCAAAUCGAUCGUCAAAUAUGGGCAUGGGGGCGAAAGACU
rnacentral:rRNA from 1 species